ACCCGCACAAGCAGCGGAGCGUGUGGUUUAAUUCGAUGCUACACGAAGAACCUUACCAGGGUUUGACAUGCAAGUGGUAGGAAACUGAAAAGGGACCGACCUUCGGGGAGCUUGCACAGGUGCUGCAUGGCUGUCGUCAGCUCGUGUCGUGAGAUGUUCGGUUAAGUCCGCUAACGAGCGCAACCCUCGCUGUGUGUUACAAGUGUCACACGGUACUGCCGGUCUUAAGCCGGAGGAAGGUGGGGAUGACGUCAAGUCAGCAUGGCCUUUAUGUCCUGGGCUACACACACGCUACAAUGGCCAACACAAUAGGUUGCUAAGCCGCGAGGUGGAGCCAAUCCUCAAAGUUGGUCUCAGUUCAGAUUGCAGGCUGCAACCCGCCUGCAUGAAGAUGGAGUUGCUAGUAACCGCAGGUCAGCUAUACUGCGGUGAAUACGUUCCCGGGGCUU
rnacentral:rRNA from 1 species